GUCACGGCACCCCGCCCCCCCCGGCGUGGAUGAGUGGCGAACGGGUGAGUAACACGUGAGUAACCUGCCCCUGACUUCGGGAUAAGCCUGGGAAACUGGGUCUAAUACCGGAUAUGACUACUGGCCGCAUGGUCUGGUGGUGGAAAGGGUUUUACUGGUUGGGGAUGGACUCGCGGCCUAUCAGUUUGUUGGUGGGGUAGUGGCCUACCAAGACGACGACGGGUAGCCGGCCUGAGAGGGCGACCGGCCACACUGGGACUGAGACACGGCCCAGACUCCUACGGGAGGCAGCAGUGGGGAAUAUUGCACAAUGGGGGGAACCCUGAUGCAGCGACGCCGCGUGCGGGAUGACGGCCUUCGGGUUGUAAACCGCUUUCAGUAGGGAAGAAGCGAAAGUGACGGUACCUGCAGAAGAAGUACCGGCUAACUACGUGCCAGCAGCCGCGGUAAUACGUAGGGUACAAGCGUUGUCCGGAAUUAUUGGGCGUAAAGAGCUCGUAGGUGGUUGGUCACGUCUGCUGUGGAAACGCAACGCUUAACGUUGCGCGUGCAGUGGGUACGGGCUGACUAGAGUGCAGUAGGGGAGUCUGGAAUUCCUGGUGUAGCGGUGAAAUGCGCAGAUAUCAGGAGGAACACCGGUGGCGAAGGCGGGACUCUGGGCUGUAACUGACGCUGAGGAGCGAAAGCAUGGGGAGCGAACAGGAUUAGAUACCCUGGUAGUCCAUGCCGUAAACGUUGGGAACUAGGUGUGGGGUCCAUUCCACGGAUUCCGUGCCGUAGCUAACGCAUUAAGUUCCCCGCCUGGGGAGUACGGCCGCAAGGCUAAACUCAAAGGAAUUGACGGGGGCCCGCACAAGCGGCGGAGCAUGCGGAUUAAUUCGAUGCAACGCGAAGAACCUUACCAAGGCUUGACAUACACCGGAAACGGCUAGAGAUAGUCGCCUCCUUCGACUGAUGUACAGGUGGUGCAUGGGUUGUACGUCAGCCUCGUGUCGUGAGAAUUGUGGUUUAAGUCCGCAACGAGCGCCAUCCCUUCGUUCUAUGUUUGCCAGCCCGUAUUGGUGGUACUCAUGGAGACUGGCUGGGUGCCACUCGAGGAGGUGCGAAGUACGUCAUAAUCAUGCCCUUAAUGUCUAGACUGCAGCAGUCCAUACCAUGUGCGAGUGACAGAGACUGGUGAGCU
rnacentral:rRNA from 2 species